GGCGGCGUAGCUCAGAUGGUUAGAGCAUACGGUUCAUACCCGUAGUGUCGCUGGUUCAAUUCCAGCCGCCGCUACCA
rnacentral:tRNA from 1 species